UACGUAGGGGGCAAGCGUUGUCCGGAAUCAUUGGGCGUAAAGCGCGUGUAGGCGGCUUGGUAAGUCGGGUGUGAAAGCCCUCAGCUCAACUGAGGAAGUGCGCCCGAAACUGCUUUGCUUGAGUACUGGAGAGGGUCGCGGAAUUCCCGAAGUAGAGGUGAAAUUCGUAGAUAUCGGGAGGAACACCGGUGGCGAAGGCGGCGACCUGGACAGUAACUGACGCUGAGACGCGAAAGCGUGGGUAGCAAACAGG
rnacentral:rRNA from 1 species